rnacentral:tRNA from 1 species
AUUAAGGUGGCAGAGCAGGCAAUUGCAUAAAACUUAAGCCUUUAUAAUCAGAGGUUCAAAUCCUCUCCUUAAUA